rnacentral:rRNA from 1 species
GACGAACGCUGGCGGCGUGCCUAAUACAUGCAAGUAGAACGCUGAAGGAAGGAGCUUGCUCUUUCUGGAUGAGUUGCGAACGGGUGAGUAACGCGUAGGUAACCUGCCUGGUAGCGGGGGAUAACUAUUGGAAACGAUAGCUAAUACCGCAUAAAAUUGAUUAUUGCAUGAUAGUCAAUUAAAAGGUGCAACUGCACCACUACCAGAUGGACCUGCGUUGUAUUAGCUAGUUGGUGGGGUAACGGCUCACCAAGGCGACGAUACAUAGCCGACCUGAGAGGGUGAUCGGCCACACUGGGACUGAGACACGGCCCAGACUCCUACGGGAGGCAGCAGUAGGGAAUCUUCGGCAAUGGACGGAAGUCUGACCGAGCAACGCCGCGUGAGUGAAGAAGGUUUUCGGAUCGUAAAGCUCUGUUGUAAGAGAAGAACGAGUGUGAGAGUGGAAAGUUCACACUGUGACGGUACCUUACCAGAAAGGGACGGCUAACUACGUG